rnacentral:lncRNA from 1 species
UCCCAUUUUUAAUGCUUCAAUGCAUCCUCAGUUCACUGCCUAGGUCAGAUUACUGGAAGGAAUUUGAAAUUUCUUAUUUAUGAGACAAAUCAUUCUUGCUCUCUAUCUCUCUCUGUAUUUUCAUUUUAUUACUUAUAAAUCUCAUUAAUUUGACUGGGCAGGUUUUAUGGUUUUGUAACCUAGCAUUGGAUGACUCUAAACAUGGCUACUUCUCUCAGAGAUUUUUGGUGUGCUUGAUAUCAGUAUUGAGCUCAAUCAUCUGCAAGGUUUGUUUCAGUUCUUAUAGUUUGUUUUAAAAUUUUUCGUUGCCAUGUAUUUCUAUGGUGUGGAUUUUAUGAAAUUCAUGUUUAAUUCAGCAAACUCUGUUUCGUCAAGUAUUUAGUUCUAUGACUGGCAAUAAUAGAUAGAAAACCUUAAAAGGGGCAUAACAUUUUUCUUUUUUUGUUGUUUUUUUAACUUUGUUUUGAUGUAAUAAAAGUAUUCCUUCCUCCCAAACUCAAUUGAGAUGAUUUAAUUGUUCUUUUCUUAUACUGAAAUUUUUAGAAGCUCUGAUUGCCACUGAUUUAUAAAGAAAACAACAAUUGUAAAAUUAUUAUGCUGCUGUCAUGCUGCUAUAUGUUGUUCAAAACAGCACAUGGAACUUCCAAGCACUGAUUUUAGCAACUGGACAGCAUCCAUAAAAUUUUUCCGGUGUGUCAUGCCGCUAUUUGUUGUAAAAAACAACAUUGAAAAGUUUCAGGUGCUAUUUUAACACAAUUAUAGCAGCAUGACAGCACCCAAAAAUUUUUCUGGGUGUUGUCUUGCUGGUAUUUGCUGUUAAAAACAACACCUGGAAGUUCCAAAUGCUGUUUUUAUUAGCUGGACAGCACCAAAAAAUUUUUUAAGUGUUGUCAUGCUGCUGUACAGCUGUUUUUAACACAGUUUUAGCAGCUACGUGGCACUUAUAAAAUAUUGUAGGUGCUGUAAUUUGAUGUUUACUGUCAAAAACUUGCUGUUUGCUAUCAAAAACAGCACCUGAAAAUUUCAGUUGCUGUUUUUAUCAACUAGACAGUGUUAGCCUAAAAGGCUACACAUAAUGUAAUUUUGAUAAUAACAAACAUGUGUCUUAAGUAAAAAUAAUAAAUAUUGUAUUUCACAUUUUCACUAGUUUUUGAAGGAUAAUAUUUAUCCAAGUGAAUCAAGUGAAAUCAAGAUUGAAGACACUCAAAGGACAACGGCGACGUCAAGAAUAUAGUUUGGAGCUUAACGAACAAAUUAGUGCGAAAAAUUCUAGUAAAGCCGGUAUGAUUUAAUUGAUGCAUGAUUUAGCAUUUGAGAAGCUCAAGAGAUUAAUUCAAUUAAAUACUUUUCAUAAACUAAAAUGUUUUAUUUUUAUAAAGUAAAGUAUUUUGUAGAUUUGAGUAAUUUGGACUUAAAUGCUAAGUUUUGAAAUAUUUGAUUUUAAUAAGUAUUAUUAUUAAAUUUCGAAGUUGGAUGUUUUUACAAACAUUUGAAAUGUUUUGGGCCAUACUAUAAUUAUGAAUAUUUUGGACUACAGUGAAAGGUUUUGAGAACUUUGAAAAAAUGGGUAUUAUGUUGAAAAGGACCUUUGUGCGAAACAAUAAAAUCUUUGGGGCCAUAUCAUAAUUUCAAAAAGUUUGGGAAAGACAACUAUUCUUAAGAAGUUCUGAAAUUGGACCUAUUUGUAAAGUUUUCUGACAUUUUGGGUCAUAUUUUAAUUAUAGAAAGUUUUGGGCCAAAGUGUAAUUUUGGAGAACAGUGUUACUGUUGCAAAAUUCAAAAAUAACAGUAACAUUACUGUUCCUGAGCGGCUAGCGGGAUAAAUCAAGCGGCUAACCACUUGAGCGCUGGAAUUUGCCUAUAACGGCUAGUUUUUGGGCUUUCACUAUAAAAACUCAACUCAAACUUCAUUUUAAACAAAAAAUGCACGACAAUAUAAGAUCAUACAACAUAUAUUGAGCUUCCAAAAAGUAAAUCAUCAUUGAUUGAAUCAUUGUUGAGCUAUUAUUUGCAUAUCCACUCGUAGAGAGAGUUUUUGUUGUAAUUUUCAUUUCUUAUCCAAUUGUGAGUGUGUAAGUGUAGGAAACACUUGGGGUGAAGAGAUUGGGGAGAUAAUCUCUUGAUUGUAAAGGUUCAUUGACACAUUGGAAGUCAAUUGUAAGAACUUGAAGCCUUGGGAGGCUUGGAUAGUGAAAUCCUCGAGCUUGGUUGGCUUGGAGGCGUGGACGUAGGCGGGGAUUGCCGAACCACGUAAAAAUCCGCGUGUUUGUUUUUCUCUUCCCUUGCUCUUUUAUGUUUACGCUUGUUUGAAUUUAUUGUUCUCUAUUUCAUUAAGGCGUUAGAUUGAUUUGUUGUGGAAUUAUAUUGCAUAAUUUUUAAAAACCCAAUUCACCCCCCUCUUUGGUUGCAUUACUUGCAUUUCAUUUGGUAUCAGAGCUUGGUUCUCUUGUUAGGACUUAACCGUCUAGAGUAAAAGAUCCAUGGCAACCCAAAAUGAUUCAACCUUUAGGGAAGGACAAUCCACAACUAGGCCACCGUUCUUUGACGAAAAUGACUACCCGUAUUGGAAAACUAGGAUGAGAAUAUAUUUACAAGCACUAGAUUAUGAAAUUUGGGAAGUUGUUUGUGAUGAUCCAUUUAUGCCUUUGACUAAAAAUGAAUUCGGGGAAGACAUUCCAAAACCUUCACGGGAAUGGAAUGAAUUGGAAAAGAGAAAAGCUUCUCUAAAUUCCAAAGCCAUAAAUGCCUUGUUUUGUGCACUCGAUAAGAAAGAGUUUCAUAGAGUGUCUAGUUGUGAAAGUGCUAAUGAAAUUUGGCACAAACUUGAAGUUGUUUAUGAAGGCACGAAUCAAGUGAAAGAGUUUAAGAUUAGUAGGUACACUCGGCAAUAUGAAUUGUUCCAAAUGGAACAAAAUGAGAGUGUAUAUUCUAUGUAUACUAAAUUUACAGACAUAGUAAACACUCUAGGAGCCCUAGGAAAGACAUUUUCAAAUAGCGAAAAAGUUAAUAAAAUCAUUAGAUUAUUACCUAAGGAGUGGAGACCAAAAAAGACUGCCAUUGAGGAAGCUAAAGAUUUGAAUAUCUUAUUUAUUGAUGAUUUAAUUGGUUCUCUUAUUUCUUAUGAGGAAGAUUUGGCAGCUGAAAGAGGAAAUGAGGAAAAAAAGAAAAACAUUGCUUUCAAAGCCACAAAAUAUGAGAGUGAUGGGGAAGUGAGCCGGAUGAUGAGGAGUUGGCUAUGCUAGCAAGGAGGUUCAGAAAAUUUUUCAAGAAAACCGGUGACCGAAGAAAAUUUAGAAGCUUCAAAAAUCAAAAGGAGAAGAAAGAGGUAAUCAUAUGUUAUGAAUGCAAAAAGCCCGGCCAUAUAAGAUCGGAUUGUCCACUUCUCAACAAACACAAGAAGAAAGCUAUGGUUGCUACUUGGGAUGAUAGCGAUGAAGAUUCAAGUGAUGAAGAAUAGUCGCAAGAAGUAUCAAACCUAGCACUUAUGACACUAGGAGAUGAUGAUGAUCUCAAUGAGGUAAGUGAUCCAACCUAUGAUGAAUUGUAUGAUGCUUUUAAAGAAAUGCAUGAUGAGUUGAUGAAAAUUGGUAAAAAAAAUGCAUGCCUUAAAAAGAAAUUACUAGAAUCUACAAAUGAAAAGGAUGCCAUGCAAAAAUGCAAUGAGUCAUUGAAUGAAAAGAUUAAAGGAUUAGAAUUAGAGAAUAAAACCUUGCAUAAUAGAGUUGUAUUAUCAAAUGAAAAAUCUAGCACUUCACAUGAGCAUUUAGAGUCACAUAUAGAUGAUUUGAAAAAGGAAAAUGAAAUGCUCAAGAAAAAGAAUAUUGAACUUAGUAAUGUUGUUCUAAAAUUUACAAAUAGCCAAAAGAUGUUAGAUAACAUGCUUAACUCCCAAAAAUGUGUUUUUGAUAAAGGAGGACUUGGGUAUAAGCCUAACUUGAAGCAAAAGUAUUAUAAGAAUUAUUUUGUUAAAGCUACCUCCACAAAUGAUCAUAAGAUUGUUUGUCAUUAUUGUAAUCAAAAUGGUCACAUGAAAUAUAGAUGUCCCGUAAAAAGAAAUGCAUAUAAUGGUGUGAAAUGUGUGUGGGUUCCAAAAGGAACCGUUUCUAACGAUCAAGGACCCAAAAAGGUUUGGGUACCUAAAACAUAAGAUUUUCUUUGCAGGGCUUGAAGAAAAAGAAAAAUAAAUGGUACUUGGAUAGCGGAUGUUCUAGGCAUAUGACCGGAAACUAUGCAUGGUUCUCAAGUUUCACCAAAAUCGAAAAUGGUGGAGAUGUAUCAUUUGGAGAUAACUCAAAAGGAAAAAUUCUCGGAAUUGGAAAUGUUGGUAAAAUUUCUUCAACUCUAAUUGAAAAUGUGUGUUUGGUUGAAAAUUUGAAACACAAUUUGAUUAGCAUUAGUCAACUAUGUGACAAAGGUUAUAAAGUUGUUUUUGAUAAAUUAAGAUGUGUUAUUGAGAAUGCAUGUGAUGGGAAAAUUUUGUUUAUGGGAAAUAGAUGUGGCAAUGUUUACACGAUUGAUAUAGAAUGUGCAUCUACUCAUGAUAAAUGUUUUUCGGCAUUAUAUAAUGAUGGUUGGUUAUGGCAUAGAAGACUAGGACAUGCAAGCAUGGAUUUAAUUUCAAAAAUUUUGAAAAACGAUUUAGUUAAAGGUCUUCCAAAAAUCGAUUUUCAAAAGGAUAGGAUUUGUGAAGCAUGUCAAUUUGGAAAAUAAAUCAAAACCUCUUUAAAAAACAAGAAUCAUAUCUCUACUUUAAAACAUCUUCAAUUACUUCACAUAGAUUUGUUUGGACCCUCUAGAUAUGCUAGUUUAAGUGGUAAAUUUUAUGCAUUUGUAAUUGUAGAUGAUUAUUCUAGAUACACAUGGGUAUUAUUCCUAGCUAAUAAGAAUGAUGCCAUUGAUGCAUUUAGAAUUUUCUGUAAAAAAGUUCAAAAUGAAAAGGGUUAUUCUAUUACUUAUAUUAGAAGUGAUCAUGGUGGAGAAUUUGAAAAUCAUGCAUUUGAAAACUUUUGUAAUGAUUUUGGCAUUGAGCAUCAAUUUUCAUCACCUAGGACUCCACAACAAAAUGGAGUUGUUGAGAGGAAGAAUAAGUCUAUUCAAGAAAUGGCUAGGACCAUGUUAAAUGAAAAUGCAUUACCAAAAUAUAUUUGGGCCGAAGCCAUCAACACCGCUUGUUAUGUUUUAAAUCGGGUGUUGAUUAGACCUUAUCUCAAUAAAACUCCCUAUGAGCUUUGGAAAGAUAGAAAACCCAACAUUGGUUAUUUCAAAGUUUUUGGAUGCAAAUGUUUUAUUUUAAACACAAAAGAUAAUCUUGGUAAAUUUGAUCCAAAAUCUGAUGUUGGCAUCUUUCUCGAGUAUUCAAACUCAAGCAAAGCUUAUAGAGUUUAUAAUAAAAGAACUUUAGUUAUGGAAGAAUCCAUGCAUGUUACGUUUGAUGAAUCUAACCCCUCCUCCGCGGAGAAAGGAGUUGUUAAUGAUGAUGCAGAUGGAGAGUUACAAGAAGAAUCAUCAAAAGAGAAUCAAGAGAAUGCACCACAAGAAAAUCAAGAGGAUAAACAAGAAGAACAAUCAAAUAUGGAGCUGGAAAAACAAGAAGGUAUUUCUUAAACACUCCCCAAGGAGUGGAGGUAUGUUUCCUCUCAUCUUAAGGAUUUAAUCUUAGGUGAUCCUUCAAGAGGUAUUACAACUAGAUCAUCACUUAGAAACACAUGUGAGCAUGCUGCAUUUAUUUCUCAAAUUGAACCAAAAUCUUUUGCGAAUGCGGAAAAUGAUGAGUUUUGAAUUAUGGCAAUGCAAGAGGAGUUAAAUCAAUUUGAGAGAAAUAAAGUAUGGGAAUUGGUUCCUAAACUGGAACAUCAAUCCAUUAUAGGCACUAAAUGGGUAUUUAGAAAUAAAAUGGAUGAAUCUGGUAUGGUUGUAAGAAAUAAAGCUAGAUUAGUGCCUCAAUGAUACAACCAAGAAGAAGGAAUUGAUUUCGAUGAAACAUUUGCACCUGUAGCUAGAUUAGAAUCCAUUAGGAUGUUGUUAGCAUUUGCAUGUCAUAAAGAUUUUAUUUUAUUUCAAAUGGAUGUCAAGAGUGCUUUCCUAAAUGGUUAUAUUAUGGAGGAAGUUUAUGUGAAACAACCUCCUGGUUUCGAAAAUGAGAAAUUUCCAAAUCAUGUGUAUAAGUUAUCAAAAGCAUUGUAUGGAUUAAAACAAGCACCUAGAGCAUGGUAUGAUAGGCUUACAAAUUUCUUGUUGGAUAACGGUUUUUCGAUGGGAAGAGCGGAUACUACCCUCUUUAUUAAAAAUAAAAAUCAAGAUAUACUUGUUGUUCAAAUUUAUGUUGAUGAUAUUAUUUUUGGUUCUACUAAUGAAUCUUUGUGCAAAGAAUUUUCCUCUUGUAUGAGUAAGGAAUUUGAGAUGAGCAUGAUGGGAGAAUUAAAGUAUUUUCUUGGACUUCAAAUCAAACAAAACAAUGAGGGGAUUUUCAUCAACUAAGCUAAGUACGUCAAAGACUUGCUCAAGAGAUUUGGUAUUGAUGAAUCAAAUACCAAGAAUACUCCAAUGAGUACAACAAUCAAGCUUGAUAAAGAUGAGAAAGGUAAAGAGGUUGAUAUUAAAAAGUAUCGAGGUAUGAUCGGAUCCGUACUUUACUUAACCGCAAGUAGACCCGAUAUCAUGUUUAGUGUAUGUUUGUGUGCAAGAUUUCAAUCAUGUCCCAAUGAAUCUCAUUUGCUUGCUGUUAAAAGAAUUUUUCGUUAUUUAAGUGGAACCAUAGAUAUUGGCCUUUGGUAUCUUAGAGGAACUCAUAUAGAUUUAACCUGUUUUUCGGAUGCCGAUUUUGCUGGUCACAAGGUCGAUAGAAAGAGUACUAGUGGAACUUGCCAUUUUCUUGGUCAUUCACUUGUUUCAUGGUUUAGUAAGAAACAAAAUUCCGUGGCACUCUCAACUACCGAGGCAGAAUAUACUGCCGCAGGAAGUUGUUGUGCACAAGCACUUUGGAUGAAACAAACACUUAGAGACUAUGGUAUUGUUCUUGAAAAAAUUCCUAUCAAGUGUGAUAAUACUAGUGCCAUAAAUCUUUCAAAAAAUCCCAUUCAACAUUCUAGGACCAAGCAUAUAGAGAUUAGGCAUCAUUUCUUGAGAGAUCAUGUUCAAAAAGGUGAUAUUGCAUUCGAAUUUAUCUCUACGGAAAAACAACUUGCCGAUAUUUUUACAAAACUCCUUUGCGAAGAACAAUUUUCAAAAAUUCGGCAUGAACUUGGGAUGAUGAAAUUUUCGCAUUAACAUCUCUAUUUAUGUUAUUGAAUCUAUUCAAAUUGUUUGGAAACCAAAGGAGUCGUUGAAAAUCCCAAGUCUGCACAAGCUGUAAUGAAUUGGUCAUAACUCCUUUUAGAGAACUCCAAAUCCAGUUCUGUAAAAUUUAUUGGAAAGCUAACUUAAUUAUCUUUCCAACGGUAUAUAGCUUGCAAAUUACUUCUGGCUCAAUCAAUACAGUUUUUAUUCCGAAUUUGACAUUUCUGCAUUUUAUUAAGUUUUGAAUGCUUAUAUGCUUCAUGAUUGUAUGCUUGUUGGAUGGAUUAUUUGUUUGAAUUAAUUAUCUUUUGGAUGUUUAAAAUCAUGAAUCAUGCAUUAAAUUGGCUCUUGAGAUGUUUCGGGAUCACAAAAUGGUCACGAAAUUGAUUAAAAUUGGCCGGAAAUCAACUAAGGUGCAGCUGGACAGCCGCCUUGGAAAUGUCCCCCCAACCCGAGAGCAAGCGGCUAGCCGCUUGGUCACGGGUUUGGCAUAUGGUUUUUUUUGCUUCUUCUUCUUCCUUUGUUAAUUUUCUGCACAUGUUCCUUUUUCUCUCUCAAAACCGUGAGCAACCCAUCCAUUUUCACGUCCAUUUUCUUCCAUUUUCAUCCAUUUUCAUGCCCAAAUCAACCAUUCAAACUAAUACCCAUGCAUUUCAUCUUCAUUAAACACUUCUCCAUCAUGAUUUCUUCACUUGUUCUUGAUUAUUUCAUCAUUAUCUCUCACGGGUGAACAGUACCUCUCCAUUUCUCUCUCAAAUUUCUUCAUCUUUCACUCAUUCUCUUGCCAAAAUCAAUCAUCCAACUCAUUAUUCAUCCAUUACUCCAAUUUUCACUCUCAAAACUUGAUUUCAUUAUCUCUCCACAUAAAACCCAAAAUAAAAAACCUAACUUACCCAUUUCUUUCUCUUCCCAUUUAAGCUCUUUUUAGUCCCCUUUUGAUCCAAUCAACACCAUCCAUUAUCUUAAAUCAUCUCUUGGAUCAACACAAUCGGUUUUAAAUAAUCCAUUUCACUCAUUAUUUUACAAAACCGAAUUUGUGCAUUUUGGGUAUUUUAAAUUACCAUGGUUUCUUAUUAUAUUAUGCACCUACAUCUUCAUAUGCAUAAUUGUUUUAAGGGAAAAUAUCCACCGUCCACCCGUUUUUUACACCUUUUUCAAAAAUACACAAUUCCUUCAUUUUUUGGCUGGAAUCCACCUAAAGUUACAUUUUGUUUCACUUUUCCACUUCCGUUUGGAAUCCGUUAAGAAAACUAACGGAAACUUAAAAAAAUGACCAUUUUACCCCCAAAACGAAAAUUACAAUUUCACCUUAAAAAUUACCAAAAAUAAUUAGAUUAAAUUUUAAUUUCUUUUAUGAUUAGAUUAAAAAUUAAAAAUUACAAUUUCACCUUAAAAAUAAUUAGAUUAAAAAUUAAAAAUUAAAAAUUACAAUUUCUUUUAUCCUCUCAUUAAUUUUUGUUUUGGGGGUAAAACGAAAAUUACAAUUUCACCUUAAAAAUUACCAAAAAUAAUUAGAUUAAAUUUUAAUUUCUUUUAUGAUUAGAUUAAAAAUUAAAAAUUACAAUUUCACCUUAAAAAUAAUUAGAUUAAAAAUUAAAAAUUACAAUUUCUUUUAUCCUCUCAUUAAUUUUCGUUUUAGGGGUAAAACAAAAAUUACAAUUUCACCUUAAAAAUUACCAAAAAUAAUUAAAUUAAAUUUUAAUUUCUUUUAUGAUUAGAUUAAAAAUUAAAAAUUACAAUUUCACCUUAAAAAUAAUUAGAUUAAAAAUUAAAAAUUACAAUUUCUUUUAUCCUCUCAUUAAUUUUCGUUUUGGGGGUAAAAUGGUCAUUUUUUUAAGUUUCCGUUAGUUUUCUUAACGGAUUCCAAACGGAAGUGGAAAAGUGAAACAAAAUGUAACUUUAGGUGGAUUCCAGCCAAAAAAUGAAGGAAUUGUGUAUUUUUGAAAAAGGUGUAAAAAACGGGUGGACGGUGGAUAUUUUCCCUUGUUUUAAUUGUGGAUUACGGAUUAUGGUUGUUUAAUAUUCGUGUUGUGCCAAAUAUCAGUAAAGAACCGAAAUGGCUCCCCAAGAUCCACUCAAGAAGGGUUCUUGAUUCUGAAACUGAUGUGAACAGAACUCGGCUUAAAGAACACUAUAUCAACCCAGUUAAUCAAAGCAAGUUUAAUGAAAGAUUUUAAGAAUAGAAAGGACAACACAAGAAAGCUAUAGUGGUUCGGCUAUGGAAGCCUACGUCCACUGUGAAAGGAUGAACCCAAGUUUUAUUGAACAAGUGUCUUACAGAGUACAAGCUUAUUAGAGAAGCUAAGCACACAUGAACGUAAUCAUUAACCCCAGAAUACCCAGCUAUAUAUAAGUGAUGCUCGAUCAAGAAGAACUCUCAAUCACCAGCAAGCUUCCCCUGUUUCCCGUGAAGAAGAACAGUAGCUUCCCGCGCUGAUUAACGGCUUAACAGAUUUCUGAAUAAGCCUUCAUUACACGUGUCUUUAUCUCUGUGGUUUAAAGUAACAAAACGAUAGUUCAAGCAGCCGUUUAGUUUAAGUGAGGCACGUGCACACCACAUGCCUUCUUUGCAUAUAUAGAUGACACUGUAAUCUUGUCAUAUAGCUCUCUCUGGAUUGUCAACCGACAUGUCAUGAUGUUGUCUCAUCUUCAACCGACUUGUCGCACUUGACUAUAGAAUGAUUUGCAGUUCAUAUUCAACAUUCUCCACCUUGAGCUCAAAUCUCAGGUUCACCCUUCCACUUUUCCUGCAGUCUAUACCCUGCAGAUGCCAACUGAGUUCAAGCAGAACUCAAACUUAGCUCCUGGUACAGCUUUGGUAAGCAUGUCAGCAAUGUUGCUAUCAAUGUGUAUUUUGGCCAGCUUAAUCACACCCUUUGAUAUUUCCAAUCUGACAAAGUGAAGCUUGAUAUCAAUAUGCUUGGUCUUCUCGUGAUGAAUCUGGUUUUUACUCAGACAUAUGGCACUUUGGCUGUCACAAUGAACUGUGAUUUGUUUUUGUUCAAACCCCAACUCUGUCACCAUCCCUUUGAGCCAGAUAGCUUCCUUGAUUGCCUCUGCAGCUGCUGUGUAUUCUGCCUCAGUUGUUGACAGAGCAACAACACUCUGCAGUGAAGCCUUCCAGUUUAUGGUGCAGCCAUUAAGCAUAAAAAGAAAACCUAUUAAAGACCUUCUUUUAUCCAGAUCUCCAGCAUAAUCUGCAUCUACAUAACCCUCUACACUAACCUCUGCAUAUUUCUCAGCUCCAUAGAUUAAACCAUAUCCAGUUGUACCAGCAAGGUAUCUUAAGAUCCAUACAACAGCCCUCCAAUGAUCCUUCCCAGGAUUUGCCAUAUACCUGCUAACCACACUCACUGCAUGUGACAUAUCAGGCCUAGUCAGGACCAUUGCGUACAUUAAACAUCUAACAGCACUUGAGUAUGGAAAUUUUUCCAUUUCAGCCUUCUCAGUAUCAGAGCUUGGACACUGUUGGCAGGACAGCCUGAAAUGAGAGGGCAGUGGUGUCUGUACUGGUUUACAUUUAUCCAUGUUGAAUUUCUCAAGCACUUUCCUAAUGUAUUUGUGCUGUGUUAGGCUUAGGAUACCAUUCUUCCAGUCUCUCUUUAGCUGAACUCCAAGGAUCUUCUUUGCAGCACCCAGAUCCUUCAUCUCAAAUGUAUUGCUCAGCUGCUAUUUCAGUUCAUUGAUGAACUCCAUCUCCUUACAAGCUAUUAACAUGUCGUCUACAUAGAGCAGUAAGUAGAUCUUGUCACCACCUUUUAUGGUUUUAAAGUAAACAUAGCAGUCAAAACUGCUCAUUUGAAAACUAUGAUCUGACAUAAAUCUGUCAAACCUUAGAUACCACAGUCUUGGAGACUGUUUUAAUCCAUAUAGUGACUUCCUUAGAUGACAGACAUGAUCAGCCUUUUCUGGAUCCUUAUACCCUUCAGGUUGUGACAUCACUAUCAUCUCAUCUAUUUCACCAUGCAGGAAGGCAGUCUUCACAUCCAUCUGUUCAAGAUGCAUGUCUUGUACAGCCACUAGUGAUAGCAGGAUCCUCAGGGAGGCAUGUCUCACCACUGGGGAGAAAACUUCUGUGAAGUCAACCCCUUCUCUUUGAGUGAAGCCCUUUGCAACCAAUCUGGCUUUAUAUCUUUGUGGCUCAACAUCUGGUAUUCCCUCCUUAAUUCUGUAAAUCCAUUUGCACCCUACUAACUUCUUGUUUGCUGGUCUUUCAAUGAGGUUCCAGGUGUGAUUUUUUUUCAAAGACAUCAUUUCCUCAUCCAUAGCCUUGAUCCACUCUUCUGCUUUAUCACUGUUGAUAGCUUCUGAGUAUGUUCUAGGUUCAUCUGUUGCUAUUUCAUGUGCUGCUGUUAAUGCAAAUGCUAUUAGAUCUGCAUAUGCAUAUCUUCUAGGAGGUCUUAUUACUCUCUUUUCUCUGUCCCUCACUAACUGAUAAUCUUCACUUCUCCCCUGAUCACUUGCUGCUUCAAUCUCAGUGUCAUGUAUUUCCAUGUCUGUUAUAUCUCCAGCCUCUGAUCUUGAUUUAUGUUUCUGGUUUGAGUUUGACAGCUCCACCUCAAGAUAAGAUCUCUCAUCUUUCUCUUUUAUUUCUGCAUUUGUAGUCUUUAAAGAUUUUGAGUGUUGGAGCAUCUCAACUUCAUUAAAUACUACAUCUCUGUUUAUGAUUGCUUUUGGUGGCUUCAUGUCUGUGCACCACAGUUUAUACCCUUUUACCCCUUCAGGAUAACCAAGAAAUACACAUUUCAAUGCCCUAGGCUCUAAUUUGCCUUGUCUGAUGUGAGCAUAUGCUGGACAACCAAAGAUCUUCAAACUGGAGUAAUCUGCUGGUUUACCAUACCAAAGCUCAUAUGGUGUCUUGAAGUUAAUUCCAGUUGAAGGGCUUCUGUUCACAAUGUGACAGGCUGUUGACAGAGCCUCAGCCCACAAGGACAUAGGUAGCUUAGAGUGAAUGAACAUACACCUCACUUUGUCAACUAAGAUUCUGUUCAUCCUCCCAGCUAAUCCAUUUUGCUGAGGUGUAUACCUUACUGUUUUGUGCCUCAUGAUCCCAUGCUUGCUGCAAAAUUCUUCAAAUCUCUUGUUGCAGAAUUCUAAUCCAUUAUCAGUUCUGAGCUUUUUAACCUUCCUACUGGUCUGAAUUUCAAUCAGUGUUUUCCAGUUCUUGAAUUGUUCAAACAUUUCAUCUUUGUUCCUCAGCACAUACACCCAAACCAUUCUGGAAUGGUCAUCAAUUAGAGAUAGAAAGUACCUUACCCCUCCUAAAGAUGCUGUCUGUGCAGGUCCCCACAGAUCAGCAUGUAUGUAUUCUAGAGUUCCUCUUGAAACAUGUGUACCAGUGCUGAAUUUAACUCUUGAGGAUUUGCCUAGGACACACUCCUCACAAAAUUCCAAGGGCUCUAUUUUAUCUUCACCCAAGACUCCCUGUUUUGAUAGUUCUCUCAAGCCUCUCUCACUCAUAUGGCCUAAUCUAAAGUGCCAAUAUAAGGUUUUGUUUAGAUUCUGAUUUGAAACUCCAACAUCUCCUGUGACUACAGACCCCUGGAGCACAUACAGGCCAUUGUCUAAGUUUCCUUUCAUCAACACCAUGGACCCUUUCAACACCUUCAAAAUGCCUGACUCAAGCUUGAUAACACACCCCAUUUUGUCAAGCAUGCCAAGAGAAAUCAAGUUUCUCUUUAAAUCAGGGACAUGUCUGACAUUUGCUAAUUCUCUUAUUGUGCCAUCAAGCAUUUUCAGUUUAAUGGUGCCCUUGCCAAUUACUCUACAACUAGCAUCAUUUCCCAUUACAACUAUCCCACCAUCAUAGGUUUCAUAGUUCUUAAAGAAAUUUCUAUCAGGGCACAUAUGGAAUGAACAACCAGAAUCUAAAACCCAGUUACCUCUAGAUGCACCAUCAGAGACUAUGAGAACCCCAGCAGAGUCAUAACCAUCAGAUUCUUGUCAUUCUGAUGCAACAGCAGCAUCACCAGUCUUCUCUUUUGUUUCUUUGCCUUUAUUCUUCCUCUCUGGACAUCUUUCUUGAAGUGGCCUUCCUUGUGGCAAUGGAAGCACUUCAUGUUCUUGGGUCUGGAUUUGGAUCUUUUCUUCUUCCCUUUACCACCCUCUCUCUUUUCUGGCCUCCCUCUAACUGUUAACCCUUCCCCAUGACUUGCUUCUUUCUUACUUGCAGCCUUAGAGCUCAAUGUCUCUUUUACAUCCACCAUCGAGAGGGACUGUCUUCCAUACAUGAGAGUGUCAACCAGAUGCUCAUAAGAGCUUGGUAGAGAGCACAACAGGAUCAUGGCUUUAUCUUCAUCAUCGAUCUUUACAUUAAUGUCUUCAAGAUCCAAAAUGAUCUUGUUAAAGACAUCAAUGUGAUCAAAUAUUGAUGAACCUUCCUCCAUCUGCAAUGUGUAAAGCUUCUUUUUAGUGGCUAACCUCUUGGCCAUGGACUUUUUGGUGUACAAGUCCUCAAGCUUCUUCCACAAUCCAGCAGCAGUUGUCUCUCCUCCCACUUCUCUGAGUACACCAUCUCCAAGACUUAAGAUAAUUGCACUAUGAGCCCUAUCAAGCACAUCUGGAAGAUCAUCAUCUGAUAUCUUCCUUGGUUUCUUAGGUAAUGUGACUUCGGCAAGGGCUUCAUCCAGGCCUUGAUGUACCAGCAGUGCUUUCAUCUUAAGUCUCCAUAGGUGAAAGUCAUUUUCACCAGUAAACUUUUCUACUUCAAGUUUAGGCACAGUCAUCUUUAGAUCAAGAACUUCAGAGAGUAGCUCUGAUACCAAUUUUUUGUGCCAAAUAUCAGUAAAGAACCGAAAUGGCUCCCCAAGAUCCACUCAAGAAGGGUUCUUGAUUCUGAAACUGAUGUGAACAGAACUCGGCUUAAAGAACACUAUAUCAACCCAGUUAAUCAAAGCAAGUUUAAUGAAAGAUUUUAAGAACAGAAAGGACAACACAAGAAAGCUAUAGUGGGUCGGCUAUGGAAACCUACGUCCACUGUGAAAGGAUGAACCCAAGUUUUAUUGAACAAGUGUCUUACAGAGUACAAGCUUAUUAGAGAAGCUAAGCACACAUGAACGUAAUCAUUAACCCCAGAAUACCCAGCUAUAUAUAAGUGAUGCUCGAUCAAGAAGAACUCUCAAUCACCAGCAAGCUUCCCCUGUUUCCCGUGAAGAAGAACAGUAGCUUCCCGCGCUGAUUAACGGCUUAACAGAUUUCUGAAUAAGCCUUCAUUACACGUGUCUUUAUCUCUGUGGUUUAAAGUAACAAAACGACAGUUCAAGCAGCCGUUUAGUUUAAGUGAGGCACGUGCACACCACAUGCCUUCUUUGCAUAUAUAGAUGACACGGUAAUCUUGUCAUAUAGCUCUCUCUGGAUUGUCAACCGACAUGUCAUGAUGUUGUCUCAUCUUCAACUGACUUGUCGCACUUGACUAUAGAAUGAUUUGCAGUUCAUAUUCAACAAUUCGGAUAUGUUAUAUUUGGAUGAUGUUUUCGGAUUGAUUAAUUAUAUGCUUAAUUCUUAUGUGUUGCUUGAUAACUUGGUGGAGUUGUUGGUUUGUUAUACUUGUUAAACCUUAUAUGGAAGUGUUUUUAACCACUUUGUGUAUUCAAGGAUUUGUUCAUUUUUAAGGGGAGACUCUGCCGAAAUUUUUGCUCGCCCAAAAUUGGUAAUAUCUUCUUUGAAUUAUUUUUGGUAAUAUUGUUUCAAAUUGCAUAUAUCUAUUUUUUAAAGCGGGAGAUAAAUAUGAUAAGUUUUUGAUAAUGUCAUUUUGGUUAAAUUUUUCGGUCUUAGCAUACAUUUCUAGUAAUUUUGAUGAUGAAGGGGGAGAAGUCAUGCAUUUUGAAUUUUGAAUAUGAAGACAUGUAAUACAUAUUUUGUAUUUCAAGUAUUUAUGCAUGUUUUUGAAGUAUUAAGGGAGAGUUUUUGUUUUGAAUUUGAUUUAUAAGUUGAAGUCAUGUAUGCCAUGUAUUGAGGGGGAGUUUAAUGUCAAAAUACAUGAGAUGUUUGUCAUCAUAAAAAAGGGGGAGAUUGUUAGCCUAAAAGGCUACACAUAAUGUAAUUUUGAUGAUAACAAACAUGUGUCUUAAGUAAAAAUAAUAAAUAUUGUAUUUCACAUUUUCACUAGUUUUUGAAGGAUAAUAUUUAUGCAAGUGAAUCAAGUGAAAUCAAGAUUGAAGACACUCAAAGGACAACGGUGACAUCAAGAAUAUAGUUUGGAGCUCAACGAACAAAUUAGUGCAAAAAAUUCUUGUAAAACCGGUAUGAUUUAAUUGAUGCAUGAUUUAGCAUUUGAGAAGCUCAAGAGAUUAAUUCAAUUAAAUACUUUUCAUAAACUAAAACGUUUUAUUUUUAUAAAGUAAAGUAUUUUGUGGAUUUGAGUAAUUUGGACUUCAAUGCUAAGUUUUGAAAUCUUUGAUUUUAAUAAGUAUUAUUAUUAAAUUUCGAAGUUGGAUGUUUUUACAAACAUUUGAAAUGUUUUGGGCCAUACUAUAAUUUAUGAAUAUUUUGGACUACAAUGAAAGGUUUUGAGAACUUUGAAAAAAUGGGUAUUAUGUUGAAAAUGACCUUUGUGCGAAACAAUAAAAUCUUUGGGGCCAUAUCAUAAUUUCAGAAAGUUUGGGAAAGACAACUAUUCUUAAGAAGUUCUAAAUUGGACUUAUUUGCAAAGUUUUCUGACAUUUUGGCCAUAGUAUAAUUAUAGAAAGUUGUGGGCCAAAGUAUAAUUUUAGAGAAUAAUGUUACUGUAGCAAAAUUCAAAAAUAACGGUAACAUUACUGUUCCUGAGUGGCUAGCCGGAUAAAUCAAGCGGCUAACCGCUUGAGCGCUGGAAUUUGCCUAUAACGGCUAGUUUUUGGGUUUCAUUAUAAAAACUCAACUCAAACUUCAUUUUAAAAAAAACUGCACGAAAAUAUAAGAUCAUACAACAUAUAUUGAGCUUUCAAAACGCAAAUCAUCAUUGAUUGAAUCAUUGUUGAGCUAUUAUUUGCAUAUCCACUCUUAGAGAGAGUUUUUGUUGUAAUUUUCAUUUCUUAUCCAAUUGUGAGUGUGUAAGUGUGAGAAACACUUGGGGUGAAGAGAUUGGGGACAUAAUCUCUUGAUUGUAAAGGUUCAUUGACACCUUGGAAGUCAAUUGUAAGAACUUGAAGCCUUGGGAGGCUUGGAUAGUGAAAUCCUCGAGCUUGGUUGGCUUGGAGGCGUGGACGUAGGCGGGGAUUGCCGAACCAUGUAAAAAUCCGCGUGUUUGUUUUUCUCUUCCCUUACUCUUUUAUGUUUAUGCUUGUUUGAAUUUAUUGUUCUCUAUUUCAUUAAGGCAUUAGAUUGAUUUGUUGUGGAAUUAUAUUGCAUAAUUUUUAAAAACCCAAUUCACCCCCCCUCUUGGAUUGCAUUACUUGCAUUUCAGACAGUACCCACAAAUUUUUUGGGUGCUGUCAUGCUGCUGUUUAAGGCUAAAAAUAGCACUUGAAAAGUUUUUUAGGUGCAUUCAAGCUACUGUUUGUUGUAAAAAAUGCAAUGGAACUUUCAGUUAUUGGGUUUAUCAGUUAGACAACACCUAAACUACUUUAGGAUGCUAUCAUGCUACUGUUUGAUGUUAAAAAUAGCACCCGAAAGUUGCAGGUGCUAUUUUUACCACAAUUUCAGUAGCUAGCCAGCACCCCAAAAAUAUUCAGGGUGCUGUCCUUUGCUGUUUUUUGUUAAAAACACGUCCUAAAAGUAUCAGGUUCUAUUUUUAUUAGCUACACACCACCCAAAAUUUCCUUGGGGUGCUGUCAUGUUGAUGUUUGAUUAGAAAAACACUUUCAGGUGAUGUCAUGUUGUUGUUUGCUAUUAAAAACAACACUUGGAUAUUCAAAGUGUUGGUUUUGUCAGUUAGACAACACCCAAAAUAUUUUAGGGUGUUGUUAUGCUUUUGUUUGAUGUUAUAAACAACACCUGAAAGUUGCCAGUGCUGUUUUUAACACAAUUUCAGCAACUAGGCAGCACCCAAGAAAUAUUCUGGGUGCUGUCAUGUUGUUGUUUGUUGUUACAAAUAACACCUAAAAGUUUCAGCUGUUAUUUUUAUCAGCUAGACAACGCAAAAAAUUAUUUUUGGUGCUAUCAUGUUGUUGUUUGAUUAGAAAAAUAGCACUUGAACGUUUUAGGUGUUGUUUGAACAUAAUUUUAGCAGCUAAACAUCACCUAAAAAUUUUUUUGGGUGUUGUCCUACUGCUGUUUGCUGUUAAAAUAAGCACCUAAAACUUUCAAGUGGUGUUUUUAUUAGUUGGACAACACUUAAAUAACUUUUCAGGUGCUGUUAUGCUGUGUUUGAUGUUAAUUAAAAACAACACCUGAAAGUUACAAGUGCUGUUUUAACACAAUUACAGUAGCUAUACAUCACCAAAAUAAUUACAGUGCUACCUUUUCUUUUUUCUUUUGUUUUACUUAUUUUCUUGUUUGCUCUUAUGUCCAAACUAAUUCUCUUUUAUUUUUUGGAAAUAAAUAGGUUCAAUUUUCGCACUGGAACAUCAAAGCACAUUUGGUUACGAGGUAGUAAUUAAAAAUUCAGGCUUUAAUUUAUUGUUGUUGAGUUUACAAUGGAUAAGUCUUGGAUUUUAUUGGAUAGAAGAUUCGAAGAAUAUAGAGUCGGUGUUAAAAGCUUUUUGAAUUUUGCCGUUC